GACGAACGCUGGCGGCGUGCUUAACACAUGCAAGUCGAACGGAAAGGCCCUGCUUGCAGGGUACUCGAGUGGCGAACGGGUGAGUAACACGUGGGUGAUCUGCCCUGCACUUCGGGAUAAGCCUGGGAAACUGGGUCUAAUACCGGAUAGGAGCCAUUUUUAGUGUGAUGGUUGGAAAGUUUUUUCGGUGUAGGAUGAGCUCGCGGCCUAUCAGCUUGUUGGUGGGGUAAUGGCCUACCAAGGCGGCGACGGGUAGCCGGCCUGAGAGGGUGGACGGCCACACUGGGACUGAGGUACGGCCCAGACUCCUACGGGAGGCAGCAGUGGGGAAUAUUGAACAAUGGGCGCAAGCCUGAUGCAGCGACGCCGCGUGGGGGAUGACGGCCUUCUGGUUGUAAAAACCUUUCGCUAGGGACGAAGCUUUUUGUGACGGUACCUAGAUAAGAAGCACCGGCUAACUACGUG
rnacentral:rRNA from 1 species